CAGCCCUCAGGGCCCGUCCGCGGGACCUGGCGUUGGGGAUCGGCCGCGCCCACAGAGGCCGGCCCUGAAAUACAGUGGCGGUCACGUCGCGACCUCCCCCGCGUAGUAGAACUCACCUCGCGGCGGGAAGGCGGCGCGGCCACGCCGUGAAACCCCCCACUUCUCAA
rnacentral:misc_RNA from 1 species